rnacentral:lncRNA from 1 species
GGUCAAGCCACAGCAAAAUAGAUGCCAGGUUAGGAGUAUGUAUGUGAACUGGGAUAGAAACACAUGAAGGAGGAGAGGGUGGAAAACUAAAGAUGAAGAUUGGCUUUGAGAGAUAAUUCAUUCAUUUAAUAACUGCAUAUUGUAGUAGGUUGACUAGUGGCACCCGAAAUAAUAUGUCCAUGUCUUUGCUCCCUGGAACCUGUGAAUGUGACCUUAUUUGGAAAAAAAAAAAGAUCCUAAGUUAAGGAUCUUGAGAUGAGAUCAUCCUAGAUUAUCCAGGUAGGUCCUAAAUCCAAUGGCAAGGGUACUUAUAAGAGUUGAAAGAGGAGAAGACACAGAGAAUAGGAGAAGGCGAUGUGAAGACGGAGAUAGAGGUUAGGGUUAAUGCCGCCACAAGCCAAGGGAAGCUGAGGAAUGCCAGGCAGCUGCCAGAAGGUAGAAGAGGCAAGGAACUUCUCCCCUAAAGCCUCCAGAGGGAAUAUGGCCCUGCCAACACCUUCAUUUCAGACUCUAGCCUCUAGAAUUGUGACGGAAUAUAUUUCUGUCAUUUUAAGCUACCAAGUUUAUAGUAAUUUGUUAUGGCAGCCACAGGACACUAAUACAAAUACCUUCCAUGAAACAGAUAUGAUUCUAGACCCCAAGUGUUUAGCAGUGGACAAAAAAAGCAGAAGCAGAAGUAAACUCAUUCACUCAUUAACAAAUAAUUACUGGGUGGAUGUGGUGGCUUACACUUGUAAUCCCAACACUUUGAGAGGUGAAGGCAAGAGGAUUGCUUGAAGUUCAAGCCAGAAGUUCAAGGCUGCAUUGAGACAUGAUUGCACCACUAUACUCCAGCCUGGGCAACAGAGCAAGAUCCCAUCUCAAAAAUUUAGCAGGAGGAGCUAGUCAACAAAGGGAAAGUUUGGACUUAUCAGAAGUGUCUGAAGUAGAGUCUAAUUAUGGUGCCACUGAAGAGGAUUUAAUAACAUCUGCAUCAAAAACAGAAGAGACCUUGUCAAAAAAGAGAGUACCAGUCUUCCUCCUGUGUCUCAUCCACAUCCUCUUCCUAUUCUUCCUCUUCUGAAUCCAGAUUUUCUGAAUCUAUUGGUGAGCCGAAGAACUAUAAUAAUGAGUUUUUUCCAUUUGAAUUCAGACUCCUCUUUAAGACAUCUUAGUCUUAACAGGAGCUCUCC